rnacentral:rRNA from 1 species
AAUGAACGCUAGCGGCAGGCCUAAUACAUGCAAGUCGAACGGUGUCUUCGGACAUAGUGGCGCACGGGUGCGUAACACGUAUGCAACCUACCUUACAUUGGGGGAUAGCCUUUCGAAAGGGAGAUUAAUACCGCAUAAGACAGUAGCUGGGCAUCCAGCAGCUGUUAAAGAUUUAUCGAUGUAAGCUGGGCAUGCGUCCAAUUAGCUAGUUGGUGAGGUAACGGCUCACCAAGGCAAUGAUUGGUAGGGAACUGAGAGGUCAAUCCCCCACACUGGCACUGAGAUACGGGCCAGACUCCGACGGGAGGCAGCAGUAGGGAAUAUUGGGCAAUGGACGCAAGUCUGACCCAGCCAUGCCGCGUGCAGGAUGAAGGCGUUAUGCGUUGUAAACUGCUUUUAUACAGGAAGAAACGACUCUUGCGAGAGGCAUUGACGGUACUGUAUGAAUAAGCACCGGCUAACUCCGUGCCAGCCGCCGCCGUAAAAC